rnacentral:lncRNA from 1 species
CCACGAAAAUGCACUUAUAACAACAACCAUAACUUUCACCCAGAUCGUAGGAUAAAUUGUAAACUUCCCCAAACUUGAAACUCCAAAAGCUGCCUAUGAUAUUUACCGUAACACCCAAGCGCGUGCACACAUAGGAGGUCCCGUGAAAAAAACGUGCCCCCAAAGGGCCAUCCAACUAAAUCGUUCUGACGCCGGCCCUGUUAUCCGUGCAUGAGUCUCCGAGUCGGCGCUGCUGGUAUUAGUAUCUACUGCUCCCUAGCGACAAGUAGAGUGUGACAUUGAGGACACUGAUACAACACUCACCGCAGUCAGACAUUCGGUGCAUCGAUUCGAUGUAUCUUUCACUAGGUUGUAUUCGAACGAAGAAGCUAAAACUGUUUGUUGUGUUGAAUCUUCGAAAUGAUAACCCAAAAUGGCAGAUGAUACCCAGGAUCUACAACACUGAUCACUCAAAGCAUAGAGAACAUCAACCAUCAGAUUAGACACCAGUAUGAAACCUACUCCAGGCAACACCACUCUAGCCCAACCUACUUCAGCCACCACAACUCAGACCCCCUAUGGUAACCUAUUACAAGGUAAGACUUGCUCAUCUAGACACCAUUAGAUGUGUUGGUCUUGAUUCUUGUCAUGUACAAAAUGUAUUUCUUCUACUGGUUGACAAGACUUGCAUAUUGUGGAUAUUCAGUCUAUAGUUGGCAUUUAGUUAAAUAAGUUAAAACAGUCCUUUCAACUGUCCUAUACUGGAAUAAAGACAGAGGAAUGCAUUGAGAUAAAUGUAACAUGUACAUUUAUUGAUGAAAAUUUAAAAAUGUACACGUUUUUAUAUAGCUUAGCAGACAGAAUAUUUGAUAAACGUAAACAAACAUCAAUUCAUAUUUAUUCUUGGUACAAACAAUAUGACUAUACAAUAUGACUAUAUGACAUAAUUAUUUUGAGUCAAGAUUUACUCAACCCAA